rnacentral:piRNA from 1 species
UCAUAAUGUCUCCAUAUUCUGUGUGCAGGC